rnacentral:rRNA from 1 species
CCCAGACUCCUACGGGAGGCAGCAGUGGGGGAUAUUGGACAAUGGGGGGAACCCUGAUCCAGCGACGCCGCGUGAGUGAAGAAGUAUUUCGGUAUGUAAAGCUCUGUCAGUAGGGAAGAAAGAAAUGACGGUACCUGACCAAGAAGCCCCGGCUAACUACGUGCCAGCAGCCGCGGUAAUACGUAGGGGGCAAGCGUUAUCCGGAAUUACUGGGUGUAAAGGGAGCGUAGACGGUUAAGUAAGUCUGGAGUGAAAGGCCGGGGCCCAACCCCGGGACUGCUCUGGAAACUGUGCAGCUAGAGUGCAGGAGGGGUAAGUGGAAUUCCUAGUGUAGCGGUGAAAUGCGUAGAUAUUAGGAGGAACACCAGUGGCGAAGGCGGCUUACUGGACUGUAACUGACGUUGAGGCUCGAAAGCGUGGGGAGCAAACAGGAUUAGAUACCCUCGUAG